rnacentral:rRNA from 1 species
UACGUAGGGUGCAAGCGUUAUCCGGAAUUAUUGGGCGUAAAGAGCUCGUAGGCGGUUUGUUGCGUCGGCUGUGAAAUCCCGAGGCUCAACCUCGGGUCUGCAGUCGAUACGAGCAAACUAGAGUGUUGCAGGGGAGACUGGAAUUCCUGGUGUAGCGGUGAAAUGCGCAGAUAUCAGGAGGAACACCGGUGGCGAAGGCGGGUCUCUGGGCAACAACUGACGCUGAGGAGCGAAAGCGUGGGGAGCGAACGGG